rnacentral:rRNA from 1 species
GAGGCUUCGGCAAUGGGGGAAACCCUGACCGAGCGACGCCGCGUGGGGGAUGAAGGCCUUUGGGUUGUAAACCCCUGUCAAGUGGGACGAAACACUCUGAGGUGAUAAGCCGAGGGGUUUGACGGUACCGCCAGAGGAAGCUCCGGCUAACUCCGUUCCAGCAGCCGCGGUAAUACGGGGGGAGCAAGCGUUGUUCGGAAUUACUGGGCGUAAAGGGCGUGUAGGCGGCCUUGUAAGUCGGGGGUGAAAUCCACUGGCUCAACCAGUGACGUGCCUUCGAAACUGCUUGGCUUGAGUAUGGCAGAGGAGAGCGGAAUUCCAGGUGUAGCGGUGAAAUGCGUAGAUAUCUGGAAGAACACCGGUGGCGUAGGCGGCUCUCUGGGCCAAUACUGACGCUGAUGCGCGAAAGCCAGGGGAGCAAACGGG